UAAUGCUAAAAGCAUAGUUCUUACUCCAGUUUGCUGGGAGAGGAUUGGUAGAAAUCACUUGAAAUGUUGACAAUUCUUUUCCACUCAUGGAUGAUGCUUGACCAGUAGAGUUCUUCCAGUAGAUUGUUUUUGUUCUAGAUUAUAGCAUCUGCAGGCUCUUGCAUCUCACCUUUCUGGUGUCCAUGUUUGUCAAAAUGUAAGUAGAGAGAGAAAGAGCAAGAUGAAUCUCUUUCCACUCAGAUUACUUGUAACAGGCAGUCAGUCUUUCACUUCAAUGAUAAAACUGAAGAUGGAAGCUGCUAUUGGAUUGUGUGAUGAUGAUAAAUCCGUUUCUGAGAUCCAUCACAUUGUAUUGUGCACUUCUUGAAGUAAAUGAGUUUGAUAAGCAAUCUGACACUCAUCUGAAUUAUGUUAUAUAUGACAAUCUUAAUUUGUAAGAGUCACUUGAUGUGUGUGCAAUGCCCUGGUUCAUAUUUUUUUACUGUUAUGCUGUUCUGUAUUUCAUUUUGUUCUGUUCUAUGUAAGCUGCUUGUUGGGGCUAUUGAGGAAGAUAAGAGAUAGGAGAACUGCGUGCCGUCCAAUUAGGAUGGCCGGAUUAAGGGCAGGUUUCUCUGCCGUGGAACACUAAGGUUGGGCUUCGGGCUUUUGCUAAGAAGAUGAAGAGAGAAGAUGCCGGAGAGAAAAGGUCGUAGGAUUCGACCCGGAACGGGGCUGUGAUUCGAUGAAGCCCGGGGAUGUGUGAAGAAACAGGACCAGCCAAAGGAAACCCACUUGGUCACAGGGAGAUUGUGUAUAUUCCACACAGACACUACCAGAGAUGCUUCUGGACCUUCUGAGUGUGGAGAGAUAGAGCCAAAGAUAUGGAUUGAAAACAGAUCCUUUUACAUCUCAAGGCUAUACCAACCAACAACCUCACACUUAAACUAAUCCUAAGUUAAUCAAACUUCAAAGGCAACACGAGUGAAUCUGCAGAUGCUGGAAAUAAAUAAAAACACAAAA